rnacentral:misc_RNA from 1 species
CCAAUAGCGUAUAUUAAAGUUGUUGCCGUUAAAAAGCUCGUAGUUGAAUUUCGGGAUUGACGUGAUGGUCGUGCCUUAAGGGGUAUGAACUGUUGCUGUUGAUUUCUCACCUUCUGGAGAAACUUGAUGUCCUUUAUUGGAUGUCUUGCGGAUCCAGGACCUUUACCUUGAAAAAAUUAGAGUGUUUAAAGCAGGCAUUUUUGCUCGAAUACAUUAGCAUGGAAUAAUAGAAUAGGACGGCAUGGUUCUAUUUUGUUGGUUUCUAGGAUCACCGUAAUGAUUAAUAGGGAUAGUUGGGGGCAUUAGUAUUCAAUUGUCAGAGGUGAAAUUCUUGGAUUUAUUGAAGACUAACUACUGCGAAAGCAUUUGCCAAGGAUGUUUUCAUUAAUCAAGAACGAAAGUUAGGGGAUCGAAGACGAUCAGAUACCGUCGUAGUCUUAACCAUAAACUAUGCCGACUAGGAAUCAGACGAUGUUAAUUUUUUAAUGACUCGUUUGGCACCUUACG